UAUUACCUGCCAAGCUCGGUGGUCAAGCAGUUAUAUGUUUUAACUUCAGCCGUUAAUGACUGAAAACUGUAAAAAUGCAGUUAUGUGCUUUUCUUCUGCUGAGUUUGGCUGUGGCUUUUUGUCUUGCAUCACCAAUGCCCCCACUAGAUAUAAAUGGCACUGAGAAAUGGAAGGACAUACCAGAUAUAAAUAAAGG